rnacentral:rRNA from 1 species
GUGCAGCAGUCGCGAAACCACCGCAAUGCUCGAAAGAGCGACGGGGACUCCAAGUGCCUACGCUCAGCGUAGGCUGUUCCCGAGCCUAAAAGCUCGGGGAGUAAGGGCUGGGUAAGACGGGUGCCAGCCGCCGCGGUAAUACCCGCAGCCCGAGUGGUGGCCGCUAUUAUUGGGCCUAAAGCGUCCGUAGCCGGCUCGGUAAAUGCCUGGGUAAAUCGUCUGGCCCAACCAGACGAAUUCCGGGUAGACUGCCGGGCUAGGGACCGGAGGAGGGAGAGGGUACUCCAGGGGUAGGGUGAAAUCAGCAAGGUGAGUUGCUGAUGUAACUUGCCUUGCAAGUCACAAUCCUGUAAUCCCUGGAGGACCACCGGUGGCGAAGGCGCUCUCCUAGGACGGGUCCGACGGUGAGGGACGAAAGCCAGGGGAGCAAACCGGAUUAGAUACCCGUGUAGU